GUAAGAUCAAGAGAACCAAAGAAGACUCCAUGAACAAAGUCAUGGAAUUCAAUUGCUGGGGUCCCACUACUACCAGAUUCUAGAUCUGCAUAAUUCAAUCCCUUUAUGCAUCAUUCUGUAUCUACUUUCAACCUUCUUCUUCUCCUCUGCAAAAACUACUUACCUCAUUCAUCCAAUCUUAGCUACUAAAAUGGAUACCAAGAAAAAAUUAGCUGUAUUUUCUACUACCCUAUGGCUAGAGGAUUCUGGAUUCGUGUUAAAGUUUGUAACUUUUUUUGUAGUUUACCCAGAAAUAUUUCCCAAUAGACACCAACUUAAUCUGUCAUUGACAUCAUCAUCUACCUUCUUACUAUCUCAUAAAGACACCUUCUAUUGUUACAUAACAUAUGUUAUUAUAAAUGUCCAUAUAGUGCAUUGAAGAGACAAUUGAAUAUUUAUAAAAUAAAAAUAUAUUUUAAAAUUCAAAAUGUAAUUUUACACUGAAAAUUUUCUUAACUUUAUUUUUCUUGUAAUUUGUUUUUAAAAUUUGUCCUUAUUGUUUUAUGAUAUUGCUUGUAAAGUAUUUAGCUUAUUAAUGUUUGUAUUAAUAGUUAUAUUCUUUUUUAAUUAUUAGUCCCUGUUAAAUGUCUUUUGUAAAAACUUAUUCAAAAUGAAUAUACUAUUGUAUGAAUUAAAAUAAAAUACAAUUAUAUUUCUUUUAGAGAUAUGUAUUUAAAUUAUAUAUAUUAUGAUUACAUUAGUAAGAUCGAUAAUAAGACAUCGUGAAAUUUUAUAAUUUUAUAGAGACUGAAAAUAUAUUUUUAUAUAUUUAAUGAAAAUACAAAAUAAUUUUUUUAAUAAAGAAUGGUGGCAACAAUUCUAGAAGAUUAAGAAAACUAAAAUAAUUUCUUUUUCUGUAGAAUAUAUCUUUUGAAAAAGAAAAAGAAAAUGAAAACAGUUUUAUAUUAUAAAAACUAAAAAUAUAUUUUAUUUAUGAUGUAUUAUGUCCUUCGAUUGUUAAGUGAAGUGUUGUGUAAAUUGCUAUUUCAUUUCAAAAUAUACAACUAUAUAAUGAUAUAAAUCGUAAAAAAAUAGUAAUAUUUUUUUACUUAAAUUACAGAGUUUAACACACAAGUACAAUUAAAAAUAUUUUUUAUAACAAAAGUAAAAAAAAUAAUUAUGCCAUAAGUUCCAAGAUUAUCAAUACUAAGUUCUUACAUUCUUUUACUGAAAGUGCCGGAAAGAUCCAAAUGAAAAUAAUUCAUAAAUGUAAGAAACUCAAUUAAAACAUUAUAAAUAACUUAAAGUAUAUUGAUUGACAGAAAUAUAUAUAUAUAUAUAUAUAUAUAUAUAUAUAUAUAUAUAUAUAUAUAUAUAUAUAUAUAUUUCUUCUUUUGACGUCUACUUUCUUCGAAAGAAUCGAAGAAAGGGUGGAACCACGGAUUCUUUCCCGUACGUUGCGUGAUGUAACUUAUGAAUAAGCGUUUCAUAUUUUUAUUGUUAUUUAAGACAAACAGCGCGUACCAUGAAUCUUUUAGGAGACAAGACAACGUGUGGAUUUUUUAAAGCGGCAGGAUUCAGCUGAAAACAGGGGGCACAACAACGCCCCUGGUUUUGCUUUUCUUAAAUUCCUUCCACCCCGAUUAAGCCUGUGGUUUGGCAUUAACCGCCUUCCUGAAAAUCACUCAAUCACCCACAUAUAUAUAGAAACAAACAAAUCACUCGAUCAACGCAUCAAAACAAUACAUACCAAUUUUUCAUCAAAAAGCCAUAGCAGUUAUCAUGAGUGCAGCAACCAGAGCUUGGAUUGUUGCAUCCAGCAUUGGGGCAGUGGAGGCCUUGAAGGAUCAACUGGGGGUGUGCAGGUGGAAUUAUGCCUUGAGAUCACUCCAGCAGCAUG
rnacentral:lncRNA from 1 species